rnacentral:rRNA from 1 species
CCCUUAGAUGUUCUGGGCGGCCCGCGCACUACAUUGGCACUGGCAACAAGAUCCUAGAUCUGAUAUUUCGGGGUAUUCUACCAACUGGUGUCGUGACUGGGAUUAACCCCUGCAAUUAUUGGUUAUGAACGAGGAAUUCCUUGUAAUCACGGUUUAUCAACCCGUGUUGAAUGCGUCCCUGCCCUGUGUACACACCGCCCGUCGCUCCUACCGAUGAAUCGUCCGGUGAAGUUCAUGGAGUCGCGGCUGCUCCAGCUGUUUUCGAAGUGAAAUGGACCUCAUGAUUUAGAGGAAGGAGAAGUCGUAACA